rnacentral:rRNA from 1 species
GACGGAGGAUGCAAGCGUUAUCCGGAAUGAUUGGGCGUAAAGCGCGCGCAGGCGGAUUUGUGUGUCAGGUGUGAAAUCUCGGGGCUCAACCCCGAACGUGCGCCUGAAACUGCAGAUCUAGAGUCUUGGAGGGGAUAGGGGAAUUUCACGUGUAGGAGUAAAAUCCGUAGAGAUGUGAAGGAACACCAGAGGCGAAGGCGCCUAUCUGGCCAAGUACUGACGCUGAGGCGCGAAAGCGUGGGGAGCAAACAGG